CAGUAGCCGCGGGAAUACGUAGGUGGCGAGCGUUGUCCGGAAUCAUUGGGCGUAAAGGGAGCGCAGGCGGGCAUAUAAGUCUGAAGUUAAAGGCUGUGGCUAAACCAUAGUACGCUUUGGAUACUGUUUAACUUGAGUGCAAGAGGGGAGAGUGGAAUUCCAUGUGUAGCGGUGAAAUGCGUAGAUAUAUAGAGGAACACCGGUGGCGAAGGCGACUCUCUGGUCCGUAACUGACGCUGAGGAGCGAAAGCGUGGGGAGCGAACAGGAUUAGAUACCCCCGUAGUCCCUGUCUCUUAUACA
rnacentral:rRNA from 1 species